rnacentral:rRNA from 1 species
AUUGGGGGGGUGCUAUACUGCAGUCGAGCGGACAGAAGGGAGCUUGCUCCCGGAUGUUAGCGGCGGACGGGUGAGUAACACGUGGGUAACCUGCCUGUAAGACUGGGAUAACUCCGGGAAACCGGAGCUAAUACCGGAUAGUUCCUUGAACCGCAUGGUUCAAGGAUGAAAGACGGUUUCGGCUGUCACUUACAGAUGGACCCGCGGCGCAUUAGCUAGUUGGUGGGGUAAUGGCUCACCAAGGCGACGAUGCGUAGCCGACCUGAGAGGGUGAUCGGCCACACUGGGACUGAGACACGGCCCAGACUCCUACGGGAGGCAGCAGUAGGGAAUCUUCCGCAAUGGACGAAAGUCUGACGGAGCAACGCCGCGUGAGUGAUGAAGGUUUUCGGAUCGUAAAGCUCUGUUGUUAGGGAAGAACAAGUGCGAGAGUAACUGCUCGCACCUUGACGGUACCUAACCAGAAAGCCACGGCUAACUACGUGCCAGCAGCCGCGGUAAUACGUAGGUGGCAAGCGUUGUCCGGAAUUAUUGGGCGUAAAGGGCUCGCAGGCGGUUUCUUAAGUCUGAUGUGAAAGCCCCCGGCUCAACCGGGGAGGGUCAUUGGAAACUGGGAAACUUGAGUGCAGAAGAGGAGAGUGGAAUUCCACGUGUAGCGGUGAAAUGCGUAGAGAUGUGGAGGAACACCAGUGGCGAAGGCGACUCUCUGGUCUGUAACUGACGCUGAGGAGCGAAAGCGUGGGGAGCGAACAGGAUUAGAUACCCUGGUAGUCCACGCCGUAAACGAUGAGUGCUAAGUGUUAGGGGGUUUCCGCCCCUUAGUGCUGCAGCUAACGCAUUAAGCACUCCGCCUGGGGAGUACGGUCGCAAGACUGAAACUCAAAGGAAUUGACGGGGGCCCGCACAAGCGGUGGAGCAUGUGGUUAAUUCGAAGCACGCGAAGAACUUACCAGGUCUUGACAUCCUCUGACAACCCUAG